CGUCUUCACAAAGUGGCGGCUGUUACCAUGAGCUGAGGGUGCGGUUUUCAGCCCUUUGACGUCAAAAGGGUCACUUAUCAGGCAUCUGCGCAGGCCCAGUGGAUGGGUUGGUGCACUCCACCUGUGU